CCAACAACUCUAGCUUACUUACACAUGCAAGUAUCCGCACUCCCGUGAGAAUGCCCCACAGUUCCCUGCCCGGGAACAAGGAGCUGGUAUCAGGCACAUAUUACUUAUAGCCCACGACGCCUUGCUUGGCCACACCCCCAAGGGAAUUCAGCAGUGAUAAAUAUUAAGCCAUAAGUGAAAACUUGACUUAGUCAGAGCUAAGAGGGCCGGUAAAACUCGUGCCAGCCACCGCGGUUAUACGAGAGGCCCAAGUUGUUAGACAUCGGCGUAAAGCGUGGUUAAGAUAACUCAAACACUAAAGCCAAACACCACCCCCACUGUUAUACGUUCACGGAGGUAGGAAGCCCAAUCACGAAAGUAGCUUUAUAAUAUCUGAGCCCACGAAAGCUAGGACACAAACUGGGAUUAGAUACCCCACUAUGCCUAGCCGUAAACAUAGACAGUUCACGUACCCUACUGUCCGCCCGGGAACUACGAGCGUCAGCUUAAAACCCAAAGGACUUGGCGGUGCUUUAAACCCACCUAGAGGAGCCUGUUCUAGAACCGAUAAUCCCCGUUCAACCUCACCCUUCCUUGUUCUAUCCCGCCUAUAUACCACCGUCGUCAGUUUACCCUGUGAAGGCAAACAGUAAGCACAACCGGCAUAGCCCAAAACGUCAGGUCGAGGUGUAGCGUAUGGAAGGGGAAGAAAUGGGCUACAUUCCCUAAUAUUAGGGCAUACGGACGACAUACUGAAACGCAUGUCUGAAGGAGGAUUUAGCAGUAAGCAGGAAGUAGAGUGUCCCGCUGAAACCGGCUCUGAAGCGCGCACACACCGCCCGUCACUCUCCCCGAGCUAAGAUUCUUUAAGUAACUAAAACCCUAUAACUGUAAAGGGGAGGCA
rnacentral:ncRNA from 1 species